rnacentral:rRNA from 1 species
UUAAGGCUGAGCUGUGAUGGGGAGAAGACAUUGUGUCUUCGAGUCGUUGAUUUCACACUGCCGAGAAAAGCCUCUAGAUAGAAAAUAGGUGCCCGUACCGCAAACCGACACAGGUAGUCAAGAUGAGAAUUCUAAGGUGAGCGAGCGAACUCUCGUUAAGGAACUCGGCAAAAUGACCCCGUAACUUCGGGAGAAGGGGUGCUCUUUAGGGUUAACGCCCAGAAGAGCCGCAGUGAAUAGGCCCAAGCGACUGUUUAUCAAAAACACAGGUCUCUGCUAAACCGUAAGGUGAUGUAUAGGGGCUGACGCCUGCCCGGUGCUGGAAGGUUAAGAGGAGUGGUUAGCUUCUGCGAAGCUACGAAUCGAAGCCCCAGUAAACGGCGGCCGUAACUAUAACGGUCCUAAGGUAGCGAAAUUCCUUGUCGGGUAAGUUCCGACCCGCACGAAAGGCGUAACGAUUUGGGCACUGUCUCAACGAGAGACUCGGUGAAAUCAUAGUACCUGUGAAGAUGCAGGUUACCCGCGACAGGACGGAAAGACCCCGUGGAGCUUUACUGUAGCCUGAUAUUGAAAUUCGGCACAGCUUGUACAGGAUAGGUAGGAGCCUUUGAAACGUGAGCGCUAGCUUACGUGGAGGCGCUGGUGGGAUACUACCCUAGCUGUGUUGGCUUUCUAACCCGCACCACUUAUCGUGGUGGGAGACAGUGUCAGGCGGGCAGUUUGACUGGGGCGGUCGCCUCCUAAAAGGUAACGGAGGCGCUCAAAGGUUCCCUCAGAAUGGUUGGAAAUCAUUCAUAGAGUGUAAAGGCAUAAGGGAGCUUGACUGCGAGACCUACAAGUCGAGCAGGGUCGAAAGACGGACUUAGUGAUCCGGUGGUUCCGCAUGGAAGGGCCAUCGCUCAACGGAUAAAAGCUACCCCGGGGAUAACAGGCUUAUCUCCCCCAAGAGUUCACAUCGACGGGGAGGUUUGGCACCUCGAUGUCGGCUCAUCGCAUCCUGGGGCUGUAGUCGGUCCCAAGGGUUGGGCUGUUCGCCCAUUAAAGCGGUACGCGAGCUGGGUUCAGAACGUCGUGAGACAGUUCGGUCCCUAUCCGUCGUGGGCGUAGGAAAUUUGAGAGGAGCUGUCCUUAGUACGAGAGGACCGGGAUGGACAUACCUCUGGUGUACCAGUUGUCGUGCCAACGGCAUAGCUGGGUAGCUAUGUGUGGACGGGAUAAGUGCUGAAAGCAUCUAAGCAUGAAGCCCCCCUCAAGAUGAGAUUUCCCAACUUCGGUUAUAAGAUCCCUCAAAGAUGAUGAGGUUAAUAGGUUCGAGGUGGAAGCAUGGUGACAUGUGGAGCUGACGAAUACUAAUCGAUCGAAGACUUAAUCAAAUU